GUGUUACCACAUUUUCUUCAAGCCCUGCUGUGCCUACCACAUAGUGACACUCAAUCAGAGGAAGUAUCUGAGACAAGACCACUUGGAUUUUCCAAGCUGCAGGGGGAAAAAAAAGACCAGAAGUCCCUUCUUUUUCUGUUUAGAGUACUAGUGAUUAAAUUUGAGAUUUUCAUCACUUCCCUCUCUUUCUUUCUUUCUUUCUUUCUUUCUUUCUUUCUUUCUUUCUUUCUUUCUUUCUUCCUUCCUUCCUUCCUUCCUUCCUUCCUUCCUUCCUUCCUUCCUUUCUUUUCUUUCUUUCUUUCUUUCUUUCUUUCUUUCUUUCUUUCUUUCUUUCUUUCUUUCUUUCUUUCUUUCUUUCUUUCUUCUUCUUCUUCUUCUUCUUCUUCUUCUUCUUCUUCUUCUUCUUCUUCUUCUUCCUUUUCUUUCUUUCCUUUCUUUCUUUUUCUUUUUUUUUCUCUCUCCUUUAAGCUCUUAAAAACUGAGCAUACUCCUGAGGUGAAACUCACAGAGAUGUAAAUCAGGGCCUACUUCGGGCAAGGACAUGGAUCCAAAGUGGUGAUAUCUGAACUGGGACUACUACUGAUGUUUCUGGUAAGAGCCCCUUCUGGAUUCUAUGGAAGAGAUUCUUCUUAUAGGUGAUCACUUGGAAUAACUAUUCCCAGAGCCUACCAAAAUUCUAUCACUUACUGUUUCAGGCUCUAAAUACCUGCUUCCAACUCUCUGCUAAAAGCUUCUACUGCAUGCUUUGGAAUCAGAGCUACUAGGAGGAUGUGUCUGGUCAUUUUCUCCCCCUUGAAAUUCAAGAAAGAUAAAAAAAUCAAGUAAUUUUGUCCUUAGAAUCCUCAAAUAUUUUUCAGUGGAUAUGUUUAAUUCAAUUCAAACUGCAUUUGUUGCAGUGUGCAUUCUAGUAAUAACCACAAUGUCUGUAUUUCUGUUCAAGUUUUGCUGAUUUUAAAGCACUUUCACAAACAGUGUAGGCCAGGCCGUGUUGGGAGUGUGCAGGGCUAGGUACUGGGAAACCGAUUAUGAGAAAGGCUCAGACCCUAGCCAAUGGAAGGGCUGCCCCAGGACUGGGAUGGUUGUUUCUCCAGGUUUGAGGGAGAAACUCUUUAUCAGGGAUGUCCUGAUAGCCUUUGGUCAUUGCAUGGGCUGCUGGAAGAAGAAGACAUGUUCUGCAUUGCUUCCAAAGACUAGAGGCAGCAGAUUAUCAUCAGAGAGAUCUUUCUGAAAAGAGGAUCUGUUCCAGACUGAAUGAGAUGCCUUAUGACAUUGGGAGCUCCUCACCUAAGAAAGUGACCAGCCUGAAUGGCCCAGUGACUAGGGAGGGGAUACCAACUGAUGUCUAAUGUUCUUUUUAGCUAAGGGCAUGUGAUUUGCAGCCAGAUGACCUAAGUUCUAAUUUUGGCCGUACCAUUUGCUGGUCUUAUGAACAUGGGGAAAAUAAGAGUCCCUCUCUCAACUGGCUGUUGUGAGGGUUAUUGGGUUAAUGUAAAGUGCUAGAACAGUCUCUGGUGCU
rnacentral:lncRNA from 12 species